rnacentral:rRNA from 1 species
UACAGAGGUCUCAAGCGUUGUUCGGAUUCAUUGGGCGUAAAGAGCGUGUAGGCGGCCCGGUAAGUCCGCUGUGAAAGUCGGGGGCUCAACCCUCGAAUGCCGGUGGAUACUGUCGGGCUAGAGUGCGGAAGAGGCGAGUGGAAUUCCUGGUGUAGCGGUGAAAUGCGCAGAUAUCAGGAGGAACACCGAUUGCGAAGGCAGCUCGCUGGGACGUUACUGACGCUGAGACGCGAAAGCGUGGGGAGCAAACAGG